AUACAGUCUGAAUAGUGAGUUGUAAUAUGACAGAGUGAUGAUACAGUCUGAAUAGUGAGUUGUAAUAUAUCAUCACUGUCAUAUUACAACUCACUAUUCAGACUGUAUCAUCACUGUCAUAUUACAACUCACUAUUGACUGUAUCAUUUACAUUU
rnacentral:snoRNA from 1 species